AAGCCUGGCCUGGCCACGUGUGGUUUUGCUGCCAAUCACGAGUGAUUUUACUUGUUUGAUGUGGUUUCAUCCAAUACUGAGUAAUGUUAUUCCAUCCAGGCCUGGCCAGCCGCGCAGUUUCGCUGCAUUCAUAUGCUAAUUAGGGCCAUUAGUACAGCUGAAAGCUCUCCACAUACGUCAUUGUCCGGUUCCGACAAUUUGUGGCACUGACAAACGGCGACAAGCGCGGGUCGCAAAUUGUCGUCAACUGUCGAAAAUGAGGGAGAUCUGCGGUCGUUUACGGGGACGAAAAUCUCACCUUUCAUGCAGUGACAUGAUUUGUAACUGCCAUUAGUCCUUGGUGUACUCACAUGUUCACAUUACGGGUCAUCUUGUUUUCCUCUUUGUGGGUGAUCACAUACAGACUAUACAUAAUCUAUGCAAUCAAGGGGUGGAAUGUUGUAUUAAUCUUUGCCAUACAGUCAAAGUGACCAGUUGCCUCUCGGACGCAGGGCCAGGAGACAAGAUGUCUGUGUAUGUAAUCCACUGUUACUGAGUGUAAGGCCGAAUGCUGCUUAAAUACUGUACGGCUGAUGAUUGUCUAGGAUACACUGUCUUUGUUUUGUCUCCUGCCAAGGCCACUGUGCAGUAUUAGGGAGAGCAGAAAGCGAGGUCGGACAGAGACAGGGGCAGACGCUAGGCUGCAGCCACGGAGUGCGAAUACUCCGUCCAUGUAAUCUCUGCUCUGUUUCUCAAUAAAGUGCUGGAACUUCAUCACUCCACCGUCUCCUUCUUCAGUAACACAGGGAUGUCAGUUAUCUGUCCAGAAUUCCCAUAACACUGCCCCAGGUCACCGAGGGGACCAACACAACAAGCACCUUACCACUGACGACUGACGACAUAACGUCAACUGUUUGAAAGAUUCAAGGACAACUUGCACCUCGGUUGGACGGGAAGGUGUGUCUCAUCAGAGCUGAUCACCACUCUUCUUAAUGAGUUGGAACCAGGAGGAGGGCGUCAGUUCGUUUACGCUUCUGCGUGAACCUCAUACCCACCAGUGAAAGACCUGGUAACCUCGCCUCGGACCCAUGCCUGAAGAAACGCUUAGAAACAAUCUUAUACCGAAGAAGAACCACGGAAAAUCCUGUUAGCCCUCCGACCUGCGCUCACCUGCCUGUCCACCCUCCAACAACCAACACUGAAAAGGAAACUGGAUUUGCACCAACAGCCCGGACUAUUGCACAGCACCUCUUCCCCGAACCAAGCCCAAGUCACAACCUCCAGAUCCCCGACCA